UGUAGACGGUGGGCAGCUGCAGCGGGAAGGCGGAGGGGGCGCGCGGGAGUCGGAGGCCGUGGGCGUAAAGCGCGUGUGGGCGGGCCGGAAGGCCGGGGGGCGAAGCGGGGGGCUCAACCCCCCGAAGCCCCCGGAACCGCCGCGGCUUGGGUCCGGUAGGGGAGGGUGGAACACCCGGUGUAGCGGUGGAAUGCGCAGAUAUCGGGUGGAACACCGGUGGCGAAGGCGGCCCUCUGGGCCGAGACCGACGCUGAGGCGCGAAAGCUGGGGGAGCAAACAGGAUUAGAUACCCGAGUAGUC
rnacentral:rRNA from 1 species